GCGGGUGUGUGAAGCGCCCCGGCCCCACUCCGACCCAUCCCGAACUCGGCAGUGAAACGGGGCGGCGGUGACGAUACUAUGGGGGCAACCCCAUGGGACAAUAGCUCCAUGCCCGCU
rnacentral:rRNA from 1 species